UAGUCUAGUGGUAAGACUUCGGAUCACCAAUCCGGGGACGGCGGGUUGGAUUCCCGU
rnacentral:tRNA from 1 species